GGAAUAGGUAACGAUUUGUGGUAUUUGUUAGAUCGAGAAAAAAACUGUAAUUAGACUUCUCUGCUAAGUUUCUGCUGUAUUUGGAUUCUCCGGCGAACAUUAAUAUCUAACCAUGACCGGCGGUGGAGGCGAUGCCGCAUCGCCGCCUCUAUCCUCACAGUCAACUCCAUCCAACGGUGGGGAAUUCCUUCUUCAAUUGCUUCAGAAUCAUCCGCAUCAACUUCACUCUCAGCCUCAACCGCCACUGCGGCCGGAGUUGCAGAAUCUGCCGCAUGAUCCAGCAGUUGCAGCAGUAGGUCCUAGUAUGCCCUACCCGCCAUUGUUCCAUACUCCUACAAACCCUUCUGUUUUGCCCUAUUCUCACUCUCCUCCUCUGUUUGUACCUCAUAACUUCUUCAUUCGAGGGUUUCUCCAAAACCCUAAUUCUGGCCAUACCACUAACCCCAAUUACUCAUCUCCGCCUGCCCCAAGUGGGUUCAGUCAAUAUCACCAUGCGAGUCCACUUGGAUUUGGAUCAGUCGGAGAAAACAUGGGCAAUUUGGGGAUUUUCGGUGCCAAUGCUAAGGCGAGUAAUUCAAAUAAUGAGUUUGAUCAUAAUCUGAUUUUUGGAUCUUUACGUAGCCAUAUUCAAGGUAAUGUGAGUAUGAUGAAUGACCGCUUUAGUGAUGAUUUAGCUAGUAAAGUUGGUAACUUUGAACAGAAAAACCAUGAAUCAAGAUUAGCGAAUGUUAGGAUGUUGAAUGGUGUGGAGGGUAAGCUUGAGAAUGUCAUUGGUUCAGGUCGGAAACAGUUGGGCAAUUUAAGAGGUCUUGAGCAACAGAAUAGUGGUGGAGGUGGAGGUGAGAGUGAGAGUGAGAGUGGUGGUUUGGGGUGGGGA
rnacentral:misc_RNA from 1 species